AUACGGAAGGUCCGGGCGUUAUCCGGAUUUAUUGGGUUUAAAGGGAGCGCAGGCGGAGAUGCAAGCGUGACGUCAAAUUUCGGGGCUCAACCCCGUCUCGCGUCGCGAACUGCGUCCCUUGGUUGCGGGAAGGGGAGGCGGAACUCGUGGUGUAGCGGUGAAAUGCAUAGAUAUCCCGAAGAACUCCGAUCGCGAAGGCAGCCUUCCGGCCCGUCAACGACGCUCAUGCUCGAAGGUGCGGGUAUCAAACAGGAUUAGAUACCCUGGUAGUCCGCACAGUAAACGAUGGACACCCGCGGUUUGGCCUGUAUGGCUGAGCCGCCAAGCGAAAGCGUUAAGUGUCCCACCUGGGGAGUACGCCGGCAACGGUGAAACUCAAAGGAAUUGACGGGG
rnacentral:rRNA from 1 species